GAUGAACGCUGGCGGCGUGCCUAAUACAUGCAAGUCGAGCGAACGGACGAGAAGCUUGCUUCUCUGAUGUUAGCGGCGGACGGGUGAGUAACACGUGGAUAACCUACCUAUAAGACUGGGAUAACUUCGGGAAACCGGAGCUAAUACCGGAUGAUAUUUUGAACCGCAUGGUUCAAAAGUGAAAGACGGUCUUGCUGUCACUUAUAGAUGGAUCCGCGCUGCAUUAGCUAGUUGGUAAGGUAACGGCUUACCAAGGCAACGAUGCAUAGCCAACCUGAGAGGGUGAUCGGCCACACUGGAACUGAGACACGGUCCAGACUCCUACGGGAGGCAGCAGUAGGGAAUCUUCCGCAAAGGGCGAAAGCCUGACGGAGCAACGCCGCGUGAGUGAUGAAGGUCUUCGGAUCGUAAAACUCUGUUAUUAGGGAAGAACAUAUGUGUAAGUAACUGUGCACAUCUUGACGGUACCUAAUCAGAAAGCCACGGCUAACUACGUG
rnacentral:rRNA from 1 species